GACGAACCGAGCGAACGUUGUUCGGAAUCACUGGGCUUAAAGGGCGCGUAGGCGGAUUUGCAAGUCCGUGGUGAAAUCCCACAGCUCAACUGUGGAACUGCCUCGGAUACUGUGGGUCUCGAGGGUGGUAGGGGUAUGCGGAACUAUCGGUGGAGCGGUGAAAUGCGUUGAUAUCGAUAGGAACUCCGGUGGCGAAGGCGGCAUACUGGACCACUUCUGACGCUGAGGCGCGAAAGCCAGGGGAGCAAAC
rnacentral:rRNA from 1 species